CAGCCGCCACGGUAAUACGUAGGUGGCGAGCGUUGUCCGGAAUCAUUGGGCGUAAAGGGAGCGCAGGCGGGCAUGUAAGUCUUUCUUAAAAGUGCGGGGCUCAACCCCGUGAUGGGAAAGAAACUAUGUGUCUUGAGUACAGGAGAGGAAAGCGGAAUUCCCAGUGUAGCGGUGAAAUGCGUAGAUAUUGGGAGGAACACCAGUGGCGAAGGCGGCUUCCUGGACUGCAACUGACGCUGAGGCUCGAAAGCCAGGGGAGCGAACGGGAUUAGAUACCCGAGUAGUCCCUGUCUCUUAUACA
rnacentral:rRNA from 1 species